rnacentral:rRNA from 1 species
AGUUGGUUAGGUAACGGCUUACCAAGCCAUUGAUCGGUACGGGUUGUGAGAGCAAGAGCCCGGAGAUGGAACCUGAGACAAGGUUCCAGGCCCUACGGGGUGCAGCAGGCGCGAAACCUCCGCAAUGUGAGAAAUCGCGACGGGGGGAUCCCAAGUGCCAUUCUUAACGGGAUGGCUUUUCAUUAGUGUAAAGAGCUUUUGGAAUAAGGGCUGGGCAAGACCGGUGCCAGCCGCCGCGGUAACACCGGCAGCUCUAGUGGUAGCAAUUUUUAUUGGGCCUAAAGCGUCCGUAGCCGGUUUAAUAAGUCUCUGGUGAAAUCCUGCAGCUUAACUGUGGGAAUUGCUGGAGAUACUAUUAGACUUGAGAUCGGGAGAGGUUAGAGGUACUCCCAGGGUAGAGGUGAAAUUCUGUAAUCCUGGGAGAACCGCCUGUUGCGAAGGCGUCUAACUGGAACGAAUCUGACGGUGAGGGACGAAAGUUAGGGGCGCGAACCGGAUUAGAUACCCGGGUAGUCCUAACUGUAAACGAUGCGGACUUGGUGUUGGGGUGGCUUUGAGCUGCUCCAGUGCCGAAGGGAAGCUGUUAAGUCCGCCGCCGGGGAAG